UAGGGAAUCUUCGGCAAUGGGGGGAACCCUGACCGAGCAACGCCGCGUGAGUGAAGAAGGUUUUCGGAACGUAAAGAUCUGUUGUUAAGGAAGAACGAGUGUGAGAAUGGAAAGUUCAUGCUGUGACGGUACUUAACCAGAAAGGGACGGCUAACUACGUGCCAGCAGCCGCGGUAAUACGUAGGUGGCAAGCGUUGUCCGGAUUUAUUGGGCGUAAAGCGAGCGCAGGCGGUCAAUUAAGUCUGAUGUGAAAGCCCCCGGCUCCACCGAGGAGGGUCAUUGGAAACUGGUUGACUUGAGUGCAGAAGGGGCGAGUGGAAUUCCAUGUGUAGCGGUGAAAUGCGUAGAUAUAUGGAGGAACACCAGUGGCGAAGGCGACUCUCUGGUCUGUAACUGACGCUGAGGCUCGAAAGCGUGGGUAGCAGACAGG
rnacentral:rRNA from 1 species